AGCUUUGCGCAGUGGCAGUAUCGUAGCCAAUGAGGUUUAUCCGACGCGCGAUUAUUGCUAAAAGAAUGUAGCUCUAUGAGGUCAGGAAUAUGUUGACAUAUCAUCAACCUUUGUGUCCUCAGAAA
rnacentral:snRNA from 1 species